ACUUAAAUUGAAGAGUUUGAUCAUGGCUCAGAUUGAACGCUGGCGGCAGGCCUAACACAUGCAAGUCGAGCGGUAGCACAGAGAGCUUGCUCUCGGGUGACGAGCGGCGGACGGGGGAGUAAUGUCUGGGAAACUGCCUGAUGGAGGGGGAUAACUACUGGAAACGGUAGCUAAUACCGCAUAAUGUCGCAAGACCAAAGUGGGGGACCUUCGGGCCUCAUGCCAUCAGAUGUGCCCAGAUGGGAUUAGCUUGUAGGUGGGGUAACGGCUCACCUAGGCGACGAUCCCUAGCUGGUCUGAGAGGAUGACCAGCCACACUGGAACUGAGACACGGUCCAGACUCCUACGGGAGGCAGCAGUGGGGAAUAUUGCACAAUGGGCGCAAGCCUGAUGCAGCCAUGCCGCGUGUGUGAAGAAGGCCUUCGGGUUGUAAAGCACUUUCAGCGGGGAGGAAGGCGGUGAGGUUAAUAACCUCAUCGAUUGACGUUACCCGCAGAAGAAGCACCGGCUAACUCCGUGCCAGCAGCCGCGGUAAUACGGAGGGUGCAAGCGUUAAUCGGAAUUACUGGGCGUAAAGCGCACGCAGGCGGUCUGUCAAGUCGGAUGUGAAAUCCCCGGGCUCAACCUGGGAACUGCAUUCGAAACUGGCAGGCUAGAGUCUUGUAGAGGGGGGUAGAAUUCCAGGUGUAGCGG
rnacentral:rRNA from 1 species